rnacentral:rRNA from 1 species
UACAGAGGGGGCAAGCGUUGUUCGGAAUUACUGGGCGUAAAGGGCGCGUAGGCGGCCGCCUAAGUCAGACGUGAAAUCCCUCGGCUCAACCGGGGAACUGCGUCUGAUACUGGGUGGCUUGAAUCCGGGAGAGGGAUGCGGAAUUCCAGGUGUAGCGGUGAAAUGCGUAGAUAUCUGGAGGAACACCGGUGGCGAAGGCGGCAUCCUGGACCGGCAUUGACGCUGAGGCGCGAAAGCGUGGGGAGCAAACGGG